UGAGGAAUAUUGGUCAAUGGGUGCAAGCCUGAACCAGCCAUCCCGCGUGAAGGACGACUGCCCUAUGGGUUGUAAACUUCUUUUGUAUAGGGAUAAACCUACCCUCGUGAGGGUAGCUGAAGGUACUAUACGAAUAAGCACCGGCUAACUCCGUGCCAGCAGCCGCGGUAAUACGGAGGGUGCAAGCGUUAUCCGGAUUUAUUGGGUUUAAAGGGUCCGUAGGCGGACUUAUAAGUCAGUGGUGAAAGCCUGUCGCUUAACGAUAGAACUGCCAUUGAUACUGUAAGUCUUGAGUAUAUUUGAGGUAGCUGGAAUAAGUAGUGUAGCGGUGAAAUGCAUAGAUAUUACUUAGAACACCAAUUGCGAAGGCAGGUUACCAAGAUAUAACU
rnacentral:rRNA from 1 species